rnacentral:rRNA from 1 species
AAGCGGAGGAAAAGAAACCAACAGGGAUUGCCCUAGUAACGGCGAGUGAAGCGGCAACAGCUCAAAUUUGAAAUCUGGCCCUCGGGUCCGAGUUGUAAUUUGUAGAGGAUGCUUUUGGCGCGGUGCCUUCCGAGUUCCCUGGAACGGGACGCCACAGAGGGUGAGAGCCCCGUCUGGUCGGACACCAAGCCUCUGUAAAGCUCCUUCGACGAGUCGAGUAGUUUGGGAAUGCUGCUCUAAAUGGGAGGUAUAUGUCUUCUAAAGCUAAAUACCGGCCAGAGACCGAUAGCGCACAAGUAGAGUGAUCGAAAGAUGAAAAGCACUUUGAAAAGAGAGUUAAAAAGUACGUGAAAUUGUUGAAAGGGAAGCGCUUAUGACCAGACUUGGGCCUGUUUGAUCAACUUGGGUUCUCCCGGGUGCACUCUUUCAGGUUCAGGCCAGCAUCAGUUUGCCGCGGGGGAUAAAGGCUUCGGGAAUGUGGCUCCCUCCGGGGAGUGUUAUAGCCCGUUGUGUAAUACCCUGCGGCGGACUGAGGUUCGCGCAUCKGCAUGGAUGCUGGCGUAAUGGUCAUCAGCGACCCGUCUU